rnacentral:tRNA from 1 species
GUGGCUGGGGCUCAGUGCUAGAGUGCUCGCCUAGCAUGUGUGAGGCACUGGGUUCAAUCCCUGGCACCACA